rnacentral:rRNA from 1 species
GACGAACGCUGGCGGCAGGCUUAACACAUGCAAGUCGAGCGCCCCGCAAGGGGAGCGGCAGACGGGUGAGUAACGCGUGGGAAUCUACCCAUCUCUACGGAAUAACGCAUGGAAACGUGUGCUAAUACCGUAUACGUCCUUCGGGAGAAAGAUUUAUCGGAGAUGGAUGAGCCCGCGUUGGAUUAGCUAGUUGGUGGGGUAAAGGCCUACCAAGGCGACGAUCCAUAGCUGGUCUGGGAGGAUGAUCAGCCACACUGGGACUGAGACACGGCCCAGACUCCUACGGGAGGCAGCAGUGGGGAAUAUUGGACAAUGGGCGCGAGCCUGAUCCAGCCAUGCCGCGUGAGUGAUGAAGGCCCUAGGGUUGUAAAGCUCUUUCACCGGUGAAGAUAAUGACGGUAACCGGAGAAGAAGCCCCGGCUAACUUCGUGCCAGCAGCCGCGGUAACAC